GGGCCGGUAGAUCAGUCUGGAAUGAUCGCCGCCCUCGCGAGGCGGAGGUCGCGGGUUCAAAUCCCGCCCGGUCCACCA
rnacentral:tRNA from 2 species